GUGUGAUGCCGUUGAUGUAAUGGAUUAGUGUAAUGUUCUGUGGAUGUUCAGGGAGUCCAGACCUCUUUGGAGUAUGACAGAGGAUGAGAGGUUAACAUAACCCUGAGGCAAACUGUGAAUGAAUAUUGUUGUCCUUCCCACACAAGUGCAAACUGUUUCUGAUCUUAUUAUGUAGUUGGAAUGGAAAAGAAUGCAUUCCUCAAUCAGCAGCCACAUAUCAUGUACCAGAGGCCUUGUUAAUCUGUUCCAAGAAAGAUAUCACAUAUGGCACAGCGGCCAUGAUCAGAGCUCCUACUUGGUCGAGCUUGCAGUCCUCUUCAAUUAUUCUCCAAGAUCCAGCUACUUUAUGAAGGGGCCAGACUGGUGUAUUAAAUGGAUAUAUUCUAGGGACCACCAUGCUGCAUCUUUUAGGACUUUAAGAAUGUCACUAAUCUCUGCCAUCCUCCUACCUCUGAGGUGUAAUAUUUUUUUUUAUUUACCAUCUUGGUAGGAGAAGGUGGGAGUAUGGCAGUUUCAGAGAUCUCCACUUGGCCUUCCUUUCUGUAUAGCUCUUACCUCAGAGGCCAGGGACCCAAUGACAAGGGAAAUGUCCACUGUGUGGGUCCAUAGACACAAUGAGCCCAUUGUGACCUAGAGUCUAGUAAGUACUUCAUUAUGUUACCUGGUCACCGUAAGUUACCACUCUAACAGAGGGACUAUGAUGCAGCUUUGGAUUUCAAUGUGAAUUCAGACCCUAUAUCCAAUAGUCCUCAAAGUAUCUGGAUUCUUCUCCUGCUCUGUACAUUCACCUGAAUAAACAGCCAUACGUCCCCUUGGGAAAAGACUGACAGAAUCAUCACCAUACGUGUUUGCCAUGAUGUUCUUCCUCCUAGCAAGCUAGACACCUCUUCAGUCAAUGGGUUCUGGAUGGAACAACUGGCUCAGGUCUGCGUAUCAGCAGAAGAUCGUGAUUUUCUAUUGAGGUAACUGCCUUCAGCCUCCUGCUCCUCCAUUCUUGCUUUUAUGUUUUUUGUUAUAGAUGUUUAGAAACACCUAUUUAGCUGCCUGUCUGUUUUGCCCUUAGGGAAGCCAUACUCUGUUAAUGAUUUCCAUAACUCCCUAUGGGUAAAGCCUCCUUGACUGCCCCUCUGAUCUAGCUGGCCAUUACAGUAGUUGUGGCUUCCUGGCUUCUGGUGGUUAACUGCUACCACCUAGUCACUAUUACUCUGGAUCUCAUCAUCCACAUAGAUACUAACAAGUCGUGUUCUGUGACUCUCCUACUAUCAGCCCUGGCCUGCAGAGGAGGCCACCAUUAAAAUUCCUAGAGAUGCUUAUUCCUCUCUCACUAGCUCGUUGCUAAUGGCUUUGGUGAAGGGUGUGUACUCUGGGUGCUCGUAUGUAAGUCUUGGAUGUGUCUUCUAGCCUCACAUAAUAUAUCCAUUCUAACAUAUCCACUUCCCUCAACCUCUUUAUUCCUAUCUAUACUAUCAGUCAGGGCAACUCAGACAUUUUCACUUCAUUAAGCAUAGGCUUCAGCUUUUACAGACUUCUAAGAGCCACUGUAACAGCCACUCUAUCCCCUGGGGCCUUUACCAGAGUACAAAAUCACAUAUCCCAAAAAAGUGCCUCAAAGUCAAUGAAUUCUUGCUUAUCCAGUCUUACAUUCUGACCCCCUUAAUCAAACUCCUCAAAAUCCAGUCCCAGUGCUACUCCCCUGACCCCUAAUGGUACAUGCUAAUUCUUGCAACACUUUUGGUGUGUAGUCUCUUUACUGCCUUAUCAGGGCAGCAUGUCUCCUGCCAGGUUACAGUGAUGUUGGUCUGACCCUGAGAAAGAGAGAGGGAAAGGAAGGAAGUUAGUUUUGGACUGCAGUACAGCUCUAAGAAUGUUUUAGCAAUGCUGACAGGGAGUCCUUGAUUCAGUUACCUCUCAGAGAAGUCCCACAUUUCCCGGGAACAAGCCUGCCUAAGUAUCCCUGCCAUGCUCAGGCUUGGCUGGCAGCAGCCUGUGGGAAGCCUGGCCUUGGUCAAACAUGGUGACAGAUUUCAGAGUAAAGCAGCUGGAGCUGUCAGUCAGCUAUGCUCUCUGCAAUAGGAGAUCUGAGAGGCAAAUUUUCAUGGUCACCACAUUUCAUCUGGUAUAUCAGCUGGGACGACUUAAACGGCUGUGGACUCACUAGGUAUCUCUCUAUCCACAUGGCCAGUCCCUGUUCAGCUUGGGCUUCUGUAUGGCAUGGAGGUCUCAGGGUAGUUGUACUUCUUACACAGUGGCUUGGGGACCAAAGUGAGUGCACCAAGAGACCUAUAAGGAGGCAUGACCUUGUCCCGAACCCCACGUAGCGUUGCUGCCCCC
rnacentral:lncRNA from 1 species